UGCCGGCGGCUCCCACAGGAUGGCAUUCGCACGCUGCGGGGACAGAGAUAGGGGCUAAGAGUCCAUCAGCCGCUUGGAAUGCUGGGAUAUGAAGGUCACCCCAUCCCUCCCUGAAGCACCACCCCCCCAGCUGGUUCCUGUUGGGCCUAUGGUAGUGGCGAUCCACAGGGCAGCCACAGUCCACUGAAUUGAGGUGAAGUUGUCCAUUCGGGCGCUUUGAGGCGCACAUCACACUGAGAGUCGGCUAUCUGUGGUCUCUGUGGGCUCUGGCUACUGAUAUCAUCCCGGGGGCCCAGGAAUCUGGAGAGCGAGCACUGAGAUGGCCAGCCUGCAACCCCCAACCCAAGGUCCGUAUCUUCAGAUAGACUCUGAUCUUCUAAAGAACUAGUAACUCAGCCCUUGGAAAUGAGUUCUGCUGGCAGACUUCUUGGCAAAAGGAGGUUGGGAUGAAGAGUGUAGGAGGCACAUUUUAAAGUCCACUGUUUGUAGGAAGAAUUUUUCACAGUCAAACAUUUACCAUAAAGGGGACUUGAACUUUUCUUCUCCAUUAGAUUGUUGUUAUUUUUUCUAUCAGAAGAAAAAUCAUGGUUUUUGGGAAAAAAAACAUCCAAGGUUAAAAGUAUCUAAGCUGUCCAAUGUUUUGUUUUAUAAUUAGGUCCCUGUUGACCAUCAGUAAUGUCUGACGUUAAUUUGAAUAAAAGAGACCCUUCAUUUGGGAAUAAUAUGCAGAUUAUG